GACACUCCGUUAAUUUUAUGGACAACAUCACGAAUUGGUUGAUCUUAACUAACUAACGACGUUUUUACCACGUCUUAGAUUGUGGUUUAUCAUCUACAUCGUCUGUCUGCUAAGUACCGAACGUGACCCGAAUAUGACUGUUUUGCCGAUUGUAAAUACGCAUGCUAUACGACGUGUCUCGGUAUUUAUAGAUCCAACAAUCAUGUAUUUAGUUAUGAUGUUUCUUUCCUAAGUACCGUUGGAUAUUGUUUUAUUAUUCUUCAUGUCAAAAUGCUAGAUUUUGAUUGGUUGAUAGGAGGGAGACAAUUUACUCUAUCCCAUGGCAAACACUCUAUUACCCUUCACAAAGACGCUUGAUCAAGUGUACGCUUUAAUAAAUACUGAUGAUUGUUAUGUACAAGACGUCACAGUUUAUUUCUUUGAAUUUGAAAUUUAAUAGACAGUAAUAACAGAACAUUCAGUUUAAUGAAUUAAAUAACACAUAUCGGAGAGUGUGAUAGAGCAGAUUGUUACCCCUCGAAAAGACAUUGUCAACCUUGGCUUGAAAUUUUAAGACUGCGUUUUUUUGUGUUUUUUUGUGUUUGUUUUUUUGUGUACUUUAUUUUUUUUUUUUUUUUUUUUUGUGGGGGGUAUAAUGCAUAAACUAUUCUGAAUUUGAGAAGGUUAUAUAAGCUAACUGUUUCAUUUAACAAAGUUGCAACUUAAUAGAAAACGGGAUUUCCAUUUUAAACUAAAUGUGAAAAUAUGUCAGCUGUGCUAAGGUUCUAAGUUUUGAUCGAAACAUUUAUCAAGUGCGUCAUUAAAUAAAAAAAAAAAACCUGCGAUGUACAUUUACCAAGGACGAUUAUAUAAUACUGAUGGCGUGAUUAUAUACGAAAACAUAAUAUCACUUUACAGCAUUAACAAUACAAUAUAUUUAUAGUUCUCUUUAAAUGGACAAAAAUAUAUAAAUCACCAUAAAACUUAAAAAUGUCAAAUCAUAACUUUCAUAAGAUUAACAAAGUACAAUACUGAGAAUCGUCUUAAUGUUGUAUUUUUCCUGAUUCCAAGUAUUCAUAAAGAAAGUCUGUUCAUAUUAUGUUACAUUUGUAAGUGCAUUGGCAAUUAUUAUCCAUAAAACAUUUAACAUCUCAUAUACCGAUCAAGAAGACACGAAAGCAGGGAACAAGAAAAGACUGAUAGAAUGGCUUGACUUCCAAAAAGAACGAGGCCGGGUGCGUCGACACGGUAAGCGGCUCCUGCUAUAUGGAGAUGAAAGCCAAAUUAAAGAUGCUCAGCUUCUCAUAGGAGUAUAUUCACAGCAUCAACUAAUUGUUCAUAAUAUUAAGCAUCAGAUUAGGAAACAGAUAUCAUUUCUGACCGGGAGAAACUCAACAGAGGCUUGCAUUUUCUUUGAAAUGGAAAGUAUCCAUCAUUUAGGAACCAAUUGAAUCUGGCAUGGGAUGAUGUAUCAAAAAGUACAAUGGCUUUUUCUACAAAAUAUCAUCAGAAAUUAUUGAUUUGAUUUUGAACUAUAUUGUACCUGCACAAUACAAGUCGAUAAAGUGUUCUGAUCUGUAGUAGAAAAGAGGAAAACAGACAAAACAGUCAAUAUUACAACAGGAUGUUUUGACUGAAGCUCUUGUUGAUGCAUACUUACUAACUUAGACCUGAAUAGUCAUCCGACCUGGCUUCAGAUCUUAUUACUGUUUGCAUGUAUUCAGACCGUUUUGCAUGUUUCCCUUUAUUGCAGACUUCGCUAAUAUUAUAUGACAGUAAAAUUAUAAGCAAACAGCCUGAAUAAUUAUAUAACCAUUUUAAUGAAAAUGUCUGCACCACAGUUGAACCAUAUAUCUGUAUAUUUGUUUUUAUUCAUGUAGGUAUAAAAUAAAUUUUAUUUCCAUUUGAAA